CCUACGGGGGGCAGCAGUCGAGAAUCAUUCACAAUGGGGGAAACCCUGAUGGUGCGACGCCGCGUGGGGGAAUGAAGGUCUUCGGAUUGUAAACCCCUGUCAUGUGGGAGCAAAUUAAAAAGAUAGUACCACAAGAGGAAGAGACGGCUAACUCUGUGCCAGCAGCCGCGGUAAUACAGAGGUCUCAAGCGUUGUUCGGAAUCACUGGGCGUAAAGCGUGCGUAGGCUGUUUCGUAAGUCGUGUGUGAAAGGCGCGGGCUCAACCCGCGGACGGCACAUGAUACUGCGAGACUAGAGUAAGGGAGGGGGAACCGGAAUUCUCGGUUUAGCAGUGAAAUGCGUAGAUAUCGAGAGGAACACUCGUGGCGAAGGCGGGUUCCUGGACAUUAACUGACGCUGAGGCACGAAGGCCAGGGGAGCGAAAGGGAUUAGAUACCCCAGUAGUC
rnacentral:rRNA from 1 species